GAUGAACGCUGGCGGCGUGCUUAACACAUGCAAGUCGAACGAAGCACAUUAUUUGAAUUCUUCGGAAGGAAGAUAAUGCGACUGAGUGGCGGACGGGUGAGUAACGCGUGGGUAACCUGCCAUGUACAGGGGGACAACAGUUGGAAACGGCUGCUAAUACCGCAUAAGCGCACGAGAUUGCAUGAUCUAGUGUGAAAAACUCCGGUGGUAUAUGAUGGACCCGCGUCUGAUUAGCUAGUUGGUAAGGUAACGGCUUACCAAGGCGACGAUCAGUAGCCGACCUGAGAGGGUGACCGGCCACAUUGGGACUGAGACACGGCCCAGACUCCUACGGGAGGCAGCAGUGGGGAAUAUUGCACAAUGGGCGAAAGCCUGAUGCAGCGACGCCGCGUGAACGAAGAAGUAUUUCGGUAUGUAAAGUUCUAUCAGCAGGGAAGAAAAAAUGA
rnacentral:rRNA from 1 species